rnacentral:rRNA from 1 species
UACGUAGGGUGCAAGCGUUGUCCGGAAUUAUUGGGCGUAAAGCGUCCGCAGGUGGCACUUCAAGUCUGCUGUCAAAGACCGGGGCUUAACCCCAGAAAGGCAGUGGAAACUGAAGUGCUAGAGUGCAGUAGGGGUAGAGGGAAUUCCCGGUGUAGCGGUGAAAUGCGUAGAGAUCGGGAAGAACAUCGGUGGCGAAAGCGGCUUCUGGUCUGUAACUGACGCUGAGGCGCGAAGCGUGGGGAGCAAACAGGA